GUCGAGCGGUUCAGCAAUGGAUAGCGGCAGACGGGUGCGUAACGCGUAUGAAACUUACCCUACACAGGAGGAUAGCCUUGGGAAACUGAGAGUAACCCUCCAUAGUCUUGUCAUGCCGCAUGGUAUAAUAAGUAAAACUUCGGUGGUGUAGGAUAGUCGUGCGUCCGAUUAGCUAGUUGGUGAGGUAAUGGCUCACCAAGGCGACGAUCGGUAGCUGGUCUGAGAGGAUGAUCAGCCACACGGGCACUGAGACACGGGCCCGACUCCUACGGGAGGCAGCAGUAAGGAAUAUUGGUCAAUGGACGCAAGUCUGAACCAGCCAUGCCGCGUGAAGGAUGAAGGUCCUCUGGAUUGUAAACUUCUUUUAUAUGGGACGAAAAAAGGCCUUUCUAGGUCGUCUGACGGUACCAUUUGAAUAAGCACCGGCUAACUCCGUGCCAGCAGCCGCGGUAAUACGGAGGGUGCAAGCGUUAUCCGGAUUCACUGGGUUUAAAGGGUGCGUAGGUGGGCAGGUAAGUCAGUGGUGAAAUCCCCGAGCUCAACUUGGGAACUGCCAUUGAUACUAUCUGUCUUGAAUACCGUGGAGGUUAGCGGAAUAUGUCAUGUAGCGGUGAAAUGCUUAGAUAUGACAUAGAACACCGAUUGCGAAGGCAGCUGGCUACACGAAUAUUGACACUGAGGCACGAAAGCGUGGGGAUCAAACAGGAUUAGAUACCCUGGUAGUCCACGCCCUAAACGAUGGAUACUCGACAUAUGCGAUACACUGUAUGUGUCUGAGCGAAAGCAUUAAGUAUCCCACCUGGGAAGUACGACCGCA
rnacentral:rRNA from 1 species